rnacentral:rRNA from 1 species
CCUACGGGUGGCAGCAGUGGGGAAUAUUGCACAAUGGGGGAAACCCUGAUGCAGCGACGCCGCGUGAGUGAAGAAGUAUUUCGGUAUGUAAAGCUCUAUCAGCAGGAACGAGACAAGAGGGUACCUGCCUAAGAAGCCCCGGCUAACUACGUGCCAGCAGCCGCGGUAAUACGUAGGGGGCAAGCGUUAUCCGGAAUCACUGGGUGUAAAGGGAGCGUAGACGGCUGAGCAAGCCUGAAGGGAAAGGCGGGGGCCCAACCCCCGGACUGCUUUGGGAACUGUACGGCUGGAGUGCAGGAGAGGUAAGUGGAAUUCCUAGUGGAGCGGUGAAAUGCGUAGAUAUUAGGAGGAACACCAGUGGCGAAGGCGGCUUACUGGACUGUAACUGACGUUGAGGCUCGAAAGCGUGGGGAGCAAACAGGAUUAGAUACCCUUGUAGUC